AGCACUUCAAGUCAUCAUCGAAACCAUAGACAGUUGUCAGUUCCUGUUGUUACUCUGGGCUGUGAGUGGGCCACACCCGGGGAACACUCUCCAAGGUCCUUCAGACUGGGCAGCCACUUAGUCCUCAAGUCAUGUGGUGUUAGCACGGAGAUGAGAAAGAGAGAAAGACAACAUCAUGCUUUGCUGUCUGUGUGUGAACUGAGUAACAGCUGUGAAGGAUCAGUCACCAAAAGACUUUGAAAGAAGAGGCUUGAUUGGUCACGGUAAUGAUGCUCCCCUGGCCAUGGAAGUUUAAUUGGGAGAAAAGAACAUCUGCUUAUACGAAAACAUAUUAUAUUCAGCCAUCCCUGCCCUGACUUUGGCCUUUAAAAACAGUGGCAUUAAUUAUCUCAACAAAUGAAUCUUCGGGAUAAAAAUAAUCUAAAUAUUAUUUUACGCUUACUACAUAUUUGCAACGUGCUAAGCUCUUUAUGGUUGCUACCACAAAAAACAUUUAUAAUAUGAGACUUCACAAGGUUAGGAACAGGCUUCACUUCAUUGUGAUGUGUGUAAGGUGACAGAGGACAUAUAACGAAUACGUGGAAGAACUAGGAAUUUGACCUUAGCUUCCAGACAUUUUGAGGAGGAUACACUAUGUCCAUCUUGCUUUCCUAUCAAGAAAAGUAUACCCAGUUUGUGCAGUAGCCCUGUACCAACAGAUACAUUACAGCAGGUUGUUUCCGUAUUUUGGCUAUUGUGAAUAGUGCUGCAAUAAACAUGGAAGUGCUGAUAUAUCUUUGAGAUCUUGACUUCAAACAAAAGAAGAAAAUCUUGCAAUAUAUGACAACACGGAUUAACCUGGAGGACAUUGUGCUUAGUGAAGUUAGCCAGUCACAGACUGACAAGUACUGCACGAUUCCACUUAUGAAGACUACAGUUCCUAUCUUCACAGGUGGCUGUUAGCUCUAAAUGAACUCAUUUAUUUUGAAAGCAUGAUUUAAAGUAUAGUUUUAAACUAUAAGCAUUUCAGAAGUGAUGACCCAUGACUCAAAUCUCAAAAAUAAAUGCUACAGUUCACAGUUGGAAUAUGGACACAAGAAAAAUAAUAGAUGAUGCCACUGAAAGGUAAACAUACCAUUCUGACAUGCAUGAAAAUGAAACGACAAAUUGAUACACGCAGUGCUUGGAAUGGAUGGAGUCCUUCUAAUGAGUGAUUACCUGUGGUAUAACUAUAUUGAUUGUGUUUGUACAUGUCAAAUGGGGCUGGCGAGGAUGAACUUGAAGAAAUCAAUCUUGGAACCUGCUAGGACAGCAGCCUCCUGGUUUCACAGUACUAAAUCAUGACUUCAAAAUUUUGAAGUAAAAGAAAACUGCAAAACUUUGUAAAGGUACCAGUCUCUUCCUGACACUAUUUGCCUUGGCAAAAGAUUCACUGUCAACUUAAAAGACUAACAUGUGCUCAGAUGAUGAUUUGUGGAGGACAGAUAAUUAUGAGUACAUUUAGAAAUACACACUCUUCCAAACCCUGCUCUUUCCAUAUAAUGAAGUUAUUUAUUUCUAUUUUUUAUUUAUUUUUCUAAUAAUUACAAACAUACUUUGGAGACCCACAUUCCUGUAUUAUUCUUUCAACAUACUGAAGAAGAGUUAUUUCUAUGCUUCUUUCUAUGUGUUGGGCUUAAGAUUUAUUAGAAGGAAUGUGUAAAAACAAAGGCAGCAAAGUUUCUAUUUUUAUUGGGAGUCACUCCCGGAGUAAGUGGGGAUAGUUGUGCACACACACACACACACAUUCAUGCACAAAGAAAGAGUGAUCAAGUGUAUAACACACUUUUAGCAGUGUUUUGCUGGAAGAAUAAAGUAUAACUCCUUGUCCGCCCUUUUAUUAUACUGGGGUUCACACUAAGAGAGUCUGAGGACCUGUGGAACUCCCAUUUGCAUGAAAUAACUUUUGCAUCUAUUCUGGAGGAAAACUUCCUAAGGCAGAUUUGGACAGAAAAUUGCUAUCAGCGCAAAUAAAACAAUGCAAAGCCUACUCCGGGGAACGUUGCUCUGCCACCACUACUGAAAUGGGUCAUCCCCUUGGUUUCUGAAUAAAGAAUUAUGAAACCUGGGGCUAGAAUGCUCAGGGAGGAAUUUACCAAUCCAAAUCUUCCCCUUAUGGUAGAGAACAAACUUUCAAGGUUUGUUCUCCACUGUAAGUGUGCGAGGGCUGUUAGGGACCGUAAUAUGGCUGCCGGAGACUGGUGUGUGUACCUCCUUGACUGUACGUCUCAUUUCCAGUUAUGAUUUUACAAUCAUCUCUUUCUCAACCUUUGCUUUUAAAUAUAGGAAGGUACGGCUCACCAUGGAGCGGACAUUUUCUUCAGGAGCGGUACGGUGUCUAAGAUAUGCAGAGGUUGUAUUCUAGUCCUAUAACUCAAUUCUCAAACACAUGGCUUUUAGCCAGGGAUAUCCUAAAGGAAAAUUACACUAUAUGCAACCCCUCCUUACUCCUCAAAUAUUAUCUAUAUUAAACACAGCUGAAAUUUGAGAGUGUCCUUACAGGUGAAAAUUUAACAAUUUAACAAAAGGACACUGCUGAAUGUGUGGGGACAAAGGAAGGAUGAAUCUUUCAUCAUGACAAAAGACUACUUGCCACAUUCUCCCUUAACUUAGAAAAACA
rnacentral:lncRNA from 1 species